UUUCUUCGUUAAAAGGUUCUUAAACGGCAGAAGAGAUCAGAGGAGAUGUCUCCGCGCACCCAAAGCUGUCUGUCCAGAUAAGUAUCCCGCAAAGUGGUGGGUGAAUAAACUCCAGUGUUUAUAUUUGGGUGUGUACGUUUUAAGACGUACACAAAGCUGCAAAGAGGAGCAGUGGAUGGAUGGAGUCCUUCGCAGUCCCUCAACACACGACUGACAAGAAAUACAUCAGCGCAAAGUAUCCCACAAGGAAGGGAACAUGUAAUUGCUUAGGAUAUCGUACACGCUAUGUACCGUUAAAGGGCGAGGCAUUUCACAAAAUGAUUUUUUUAAAGUAACGUAUAAAUCGGAAUGAAUUGUUACUGUUUGGAACGGAGUUUAGCCAUUUUACAAAGCCGAAAAUACCUCAAAAAGUGCUCAACUUUGCAUGGUUGACCUCAUGUUGUUCUUUAGAACCCCAACCUAUAUUGAGAAUGAACCAUUUCACAACAUUUCAACUUCCAAAAAUCUGACCUGUGUUUUGCACACAGAAAACCAAAGGACGAGUGAAGUGGGCAUUGAAUCGAUGGCACCUGGACCGUUCUGGUUGUCUUAGAAGACGUUUCACAUCUCAGCCGAGCAGGCUUCACCAGUUCAUGCAACAAGGCUUACUUACGACAAACGAGCCUUUAAAGGAGAACGCAAGCAAGGACGACACAAGCUCUCACGGCUUCCUGCGGAACGCGAGGAUUUCAUUCGGCGGUCUUUCCCUUUUUAGCUGCCGUCAUCCCUUCGCCUCCCGGACCGGACCAGACACCGUCUGCUCGGAUUGCAUCACCCGCUGGCUCAAACAACAAAGCGACUCCAGAUUCCUUACUUCCGUGUGACAGGGCCGCGGACGUGCCGGAGCCUAUCCCAGCCAACUUCGGCUGAGAGGUGGGGUGCACCCCGAACUGGUCGCCAGCCAAUGGCAGGGCACAUAUGGACACGGACAACCAUCCGCACUCACAAUCACACCGUCACUGAGUGGGAGCUGAACCCACGCUGCCUGCACCAAAGUCAGCCGAGUGGACCACUACACCAUCAGCGGCCCGCCUGAAAUUCUUAUUUAUUUAUUUAUUUGCGGAGCGGGAGACAGGGCAACCCCCAACCCCCAACCCCCAACCCCCCCCCACCCACAUGUUCCACUCCGGUCUUGU